rnacentral:rRNA from 1 species
GAGGGGUUAAGGCUCCCAGUAGACGACUGGGUUGAUAGGCCGGAUGUGGAAGCCCUGUAAGGGGUGGAGCUGACCGGUACUAAUAGGCCGAGGGCUUGUCCUC